rnacentral:miRNA from 1 species
UUAGGCUCGGGGACUACGGUG